GUCCUUUGUUCUCUCCUUAUAAAUAUCACGCACCCUUCAAAAACACACACACUUUUCUAAGAUUUUCUCAGCUUCCUUUUCAUUUGUUAAAUUUUUCCACCAUUUUCUGGCUUCAAACAUCGUUCGGAAAUGAGGACUGUGAACAUUUUCGCCCUCCCACUUCUGGCUUUGUUCAUCAUGGCAAUCUCUCGUCUGGCCCAAGCUCAGGACUUGCCUCUUUCUCCGGCACCUCCUCCUACCAGUGAUGGAACCGCAAUUGAUCAAGGAAUUGCUUACAUUCUUAUGGUGGUGGCUCUCGGAAUCACAUACAUGAUUCAUUAACUUUUUCUUGUUCUUCUUCUUAUUAUCAUCAUCAUGGCGAUUAGAGAAUAUUUCAGGAUUUUUUUGUACUGUAAUUAUUAUUGAUGAAAUUUAUUAUUAUUUAUUCUGAAACAUUUUCUUCA